rnacentral:rRNA from 1 species
CCUACGGGAGGCAGCAGUGAGGAAUAUUGGUCAAUGGGCGGAAGCCUGAACCAGCCAAGUAGCGUGCGGGAUGAAGGCCCUACGGGUCGUAAACCGCUUUUGCACGGGGAUAACACCCUCCACUUGUGGAAGUCUGCAGGUACCGUGCGAAUAAGGGCCGGCGAAUUCCGUGCCAGCGGCGGCGGUAAUCCGGAAGGCCCGAGCGUUAUCCGGAUUCAUUGGGCUUAAAGGGAGCGUAGGCGGGCGUUCAAGUCAGCGGGAAAAUCGCGCGGAUCAACCGCGCCCCGCAGUUGAAACUGGACGGCUUGAGUGCACAACAGGCAGGUGGAAUUCGGGGUGUAGCGGUGAAAUGCAUAGAUAUUACGAGGAACCCCGAUGGCGAAGGCAGCCUGCCGGGGUGCGACUGACGCUGAGGCUCGAAGGUGCGGGGAGCAAACAGGAUUAGAUACCCCUGUAGUC